UACGUAGGGUGCAAGCGUUGUCCGGAAUUAUUGGGCGUAAAGGGCUCGUAGGCGGUUCGUCACGUCGGGUGUGAAAACUCGGAGCUUAACUCCGAGCCUGCUUCCGAUACGGGCAGACUAGAGGUAGGCAGGGGAGAGCGGAACUCCUGGUGUAGCGGUGGAAUGCGCAGAUAUCAGGAAGAACACCGGUGGCGAAGGCGGCUCUCUGGGCCGUACCUGACGCUGAGGAGCGAAAGCGUGGGUAGCGAACAGG
rnacentral:rRNA from 1 species